rnacentral:rRNA from 1 species
AGCGAACGCUGGCGGCAGGCUUAACACAUGCAAGUCGAGCGGGCACUUUCGGGUGUCCGCGGCGGACGGGUGAGUAACGCGUGGGAACGUGCCCUCUGGUUCGGAAUAACUCAGGGAAACUUGAGCUAAUACCGGAUACGCCCUUUUGGGGAAAGGCUUGCUGCCGGAGGAUCGGCCCGCGUCUGAUUAGCUAGUUGGUGAGGUAACGGCUCACCAAGGCGACGAUCAGUAGCUGGUCUGUGAGGAUGAUCAGCCACACUGGGACUGAGACACGGCCCAGACUCCUACGGGAGGCAGCAGUGGGGAAUAUUGGACAAUGGGCGCAAGCCUGAUCCAGCCAUGCCGCGUGAGUGAUGAAGGCCUUAGGGUUGUAAAGCUCUUUUAUCCGGGACGAUAAUGACGGUACCGGAGGAAUAAGCCCCGGCUAACUUCGUG